rfam:Dipodomys ordii contig_64635, whole genome shotgun sequence.
GGGAAUGUGGCUUAGUGGUAGAGUGCUUGCCUAGCAUGCAUGAAGUCCCAGGUUUGAUUCCUUGGCACCA